rnacentral:pre_miRNA from 1 species
UUAACUCAAAUUUGUAUGGAGUUGGAACCUUUGCUUACAUUUGCCGCUAGGGGCGCUGUUCCAACUGCAUACAAAUUUGAGUUA